rnacentral:lncRNA from 1 species
AACGUAACUCAUCACUCCCUUAGAUGCACCACUUGCCUUCGGUGGAGGAGGAGAAGUUGACCCUGAAGCCGGGGUACCUGGAGUUCCGGCAGCCGGCGGUGAUCCCGGUGUGGAAGGAGUUCCGGGAGUUGUAGACGGCGGCGUGGGGGCGGCUGGAGUUCCGGAAGAGGCGGCUACGACCGUAACGGCUAGCUUCAUGCCACCUGCACAGUGACCAGGUGUAGGGCAGAUGAAGUACUGUGUUCCUACUUUUUCGAGAUCAAUCGUGGUGUCUCCACCAGAAUGAGUAUCGAUCGGUGUGCCUCCACAGUUAUCGU